CUGGAACAUGGAACACUUUCAAGGAAGGCACCUUCAGCUGGCAUAAAACAUGCAGUUAUUCUAAAGGCCUUUUUUCUUCUUCUUCUUUUUUUUUUUUCAGAUGUCAGGAUCAUGUGUACAGUAUCUGCAGUGAGCAUUAUUCGAGGGAGAACUACAAUAGAGAGAGACAGAAGAAAAGAGACAGACACUAUCACAAAGUGGCAUGUAAGUUCCAUCACAGGAAGAUGCAGUAAAUGAGACGGAGCAGACAGGCCCGGAGAAAAAUUCCAGACAAUAGGCUCUAACGGUGGAGGAUUGCCACGUUCAUUCCACACUCCCGCAGUUUUGUACUGAUGUUAUUAGUUGAAAAGGCAGGUCUUUAGCGGCGAAGCCAAGGAUGUGGUGUGAAAGCGAUUUGGCCCGGCUGGAGAGAGGAUGAUUUGAGUAAGAGAGUUGAG